rnacentral:rRNA from 1 species
ACGAACGCUGGCGGCGCGCCUAACACAUGCAAGUCGAACGGAGCUGAGAGAAGCUUGCUUUUCUUAGCUUAGUGGCGAACGGGUGAGUAACGCGUGAGUAACCUGCCCUGGAGUGGGGGACAACAGUUGGAAACGACUGCUAAUACCGCAUAAGCCCACGAUCCGGCAUCGGAUUGAGGGAAAAGGAUUUAUUCGCUUCAGGGUGGACUCGCGUCCAAUUAGCUAGUUGGUGAGGUAACGGCCCACCAAGGCGACGAUUGGUAGCCGGACUGAGAGGUUGAACGGCCACAUUGGGACUGAGACACGGCCCAGACUCCUACGGGAGGCAGCAGUGGGGGAUAUUGCACAAUGGGGGAAACCCUGAUGCAGCGACGCCGCGUGGAGGAAGAAGGUUUUCGGAUUGUAAACUCCUGUCGUUAGGGACGAUAAUGACGGUACCUAACAAGAAAGCACCGGCUAACUACGUG